rnacentral:rRNA from 1 species
CCUACGGGUGGCAGCAGUCGAGAAUUAUUCACAAUGGGGGAAACCCUGAUGGUGCGACGCCGCGUGGGGGAAUGAAGGUCUUCGGAUUGUAAACCCCUGUCAUGUGGGAGCAAAUUAAAAAGAUAGUACCACAAGAGGAAGAGACGGCUAACUCUGUGCCAGCAGCCGCGGUAAUACAGAGGUCUCAAGCGUUGUUCGGAAUCACUGGGCGUAAGGCGUGCGUAGGCUGUUUCGUAAGUCGUGUGUGAAAGGCGCGGGCUCAACCCGCGGACGGCACAUGAUACUGGGAGACUAGAGUAAUGGAGGGGGAACCGGAAUUCUCGGUGUAGCAGGGAAAUGCGUAGAUAUCGAGAGGAACACUCGUGGCGAAGGCGGGUUCCUGGACAUUAACUGACGCUGAGGCACGAAGGCCAGGGGAGCGAAAGGGAUUAGAUACCCUGGUAGUC